GCGUGCUUAACACAUGCAAGUCUACGAGAAAGGUGUAGCAAUAUGCCGAAGUAAAGUGGCGCAAGGGUGAGUAACACGUAGGUAAUUUGCCUCAAGGCCAAGGGAUAACAUCGCGAAAGCGGUGCUAAUACCUUAUAAAGCAUAGCUUACACAAGUAAAGCAAUGUUAAAAGGGCCAUACCGCCUUGAGAUAAGCCUGCGUCCGAUUAGCUAGUUGGUAGGGUAAUGGCCUACCAAGGCGACGAUCGGUAGCUGGUCUGAGAGGAUGAUCAGCCACACUGGAACUGAGACACGGUCCAGACUCCUACGGGAGGCAGCAGUGAGGAAUAUUGGGCAAUGCCCGCAAGGGUGACCCAGCAACGCCGCGUGAAGGAUGGAAUCCUUUUGGAUGUAAACUUCUGUUGGAGAGGACGAAAAUCUUGGCACACCAAGAAUUGACUGUACUCUCAAAGAAAGCACCGGCUAACUACGUGCCAGCAGCCGCGGUAAUACGUAGGGUGCAAGCGUUGUCCGGAUUUACUGGGUAUAAAGGGCGCGCAGGCGGAUCUGUAAGUCAUAAGUGAAAUCUUCUCGCUUAACGAGAAAACUGCUUUUGAUACUAUAGAUCUUGAGAGCGGUAGAGGAGGAUGGAAUUUCAGGUGUAGCGGUGAAAUGCGUAGAUAUCUGAAAGAACACCAGUAGCGAAGGCGAUCCUCUGGGCCGUUUCUGACGCUCAGGCGCGAAAGCGUGGGUAGCAAACAGGAUUAGAUACCCUGGUAGUCCACGCUGUAAACGAUGGAUACUAGAUGUUGGUUUAAUAUAAAUCAGCGUCGAAGCUAACGCAUUAAGUAUCCCACCUGG
rnacentral:rRNA from 1 species